UCGGGAAUUUUGGGCAAUGGGGGAAACCCUGACCCAGCAACGCCGCGUGAAGGAUGAAGUAUUUCGGUAUGUAAACUUCGAAAGAAUAGGAAGAAUAAAUGACGGUACUAUUUAUAAGGUCCGGCUAACUACGUGCCAGCAGCCGCGGUAAUACGUAGGGACCAAGCGUUGUUCGGAUUUACUGGGCGUAAAGGGCGCGUAGGCGGCAUGACAAGUCACUUGUGAAAUCUCUGGGCUUAACCCAGAACGGCCAAGUGAUACUGUCGCGCUAGAGUGCAGAAGGGGCAAUCGGAAUUCUUGGUGUAGCGGUGAAAUGCGUAGAUAUCAAGAGGAACACCUGAGGUGAAGACGGGUUGCUGGGCUGACACUGACGCUGAGGCGCGAAAGC
rnacentral:rRNA from 1 species